UUGCAUGCAUGAGCGAGUCUGCAAUACAAUGGCUGUGUAUUGACAAACGGAGCAGGUGAGUGGCUCUUCAACCCGUGUUUGUUAUGCACACAGUAUUAAUCCAACCUGGCAACCGCUUCGUGACCAAGACAGCAAGGUGACAGGAGGUUAUCCUCGGUUUGAGACACACCCACACGCGGGCUUCAUUAAGUCGCUCGCUCACGCGCUCGACUCCUUCAGCACAGGUCAAAGCCUAGCAACCGUGCCAAAACUUACCCAGCUCGCGCGAAUAUCAUUUAUUAUUAUUAUUAUUAUUAUUAUUAUUAUUAUUAUUAUUAUUAUUAUCAUAAUUAAGCCACAAUUAGCAUAUCAUUGUAAUUUAUUUCUUUUAAAAGAAGAUGAGGAAGGUGUUCCCGUGGCUGACCAACGUGUCUCUCUACGGCUGUCUGUUCGCCGGCGGGGAUCUGCUCCAUCAGCGCGUGACGCACCAGGACGGCAGAGAGCUGGACUGGAAGCGCACGAGGAACGUAGCGCUCGUGGCGUUCUGUUUCCAUGGCAACUGGAACUACUUUUGGCUGCGUGCGCUGGAGCGCCGGUUCCCGGGAAGGUCCCUCGGCAUGGUGCUCUCCAAGUUGGCUCUGGAUCAGAGCUUCGCGUCGCCCUUAGCAACCAGCGUUUUCUACACAGGAGUGAGUGUAUUGGAGGGCAAAGAGGAUGUAUUUGAGGACUGGAGGGAAAAAUUCUUCAACACAUAUAAGACAGGACUCAUGUACUGGCCCUUCAUGCAGUUCCUGAACUUCGUGUUGAUGCCGCUGUACCUGCGCACCGUGUUCAUGGGCUGCUCGGCGUUCCUGUGGGCCGCGUUCCUGUGUUUCUCGCAGCAGAGCGGCGACGGCACCGCGGCCACGGCUCUCGCCUGGAUAACCACCUCCGAGAAACGCAUCAUGAGCCGUAGCGCUAACGAGGAGAAGUGAUGAACGUGAAGGCACGCAGGAACGGCGACCCUGGUGCCUUCGCUCACGCUACAGUACAGUACGCGUACGGACACGCUGUGCGAACCCUUAUUCAUUUAUAUAUGUGUAACGUCGUGUGUGUAUACGUUACUUGACUUGAAAUAUUUUACCUCGGGCAUGUGCUGAUAACCGGUACGCAAUACACGACACCCGAUAUUGAGAUCUUUGUGCCUUUCACAAGGCUAACAAUGCUAACAAUGCUCUAAACAGCAUUCAUUCUGUGGUUUUUAGAUGUUUAGAGACUGUUCUCGUGUUGUUUAGCUAGCUGCUGUAACCCGACCUCACAUGCAGCGCGAUCAGCUCUUUGCUCAAUACUUUUAAAAGGUCCAUAUUGUUAUUUUAUUUUGUACCAGAAGGUGUUUUCUAUGACAGAAGCUCUGACAGUAGUGCAGCUCCGAAUCGCAGGUUUGUAUUAACGCGCUCGCUUUAAUAGGCUACGUUAUCGUUUCUAUAGUAACGUCUUACCCAGGGAUUUGUACGGCGGACGCUGCUUUUUUUUUUUUUUUUUUUUUUUUAAAUGUGUUGUUGUUGAUAUGAUGUGAAAUUUUCUGUAAGGAGACGUGCUUUUAUUUAACAUUUAUGGAAGGAGUCUCCGGUGUCAGCACUUUGUAGCAGUCAGAGGUAAAGCUCAGUGUGAUAACGCUCCGUGCCACAUUCAGCUCAUGCAUGAGGAAGAAAUCAAGGACAGAAAUGAAACAAGACUUUCCUUACACAAGCCAUGGUAAAAUAGAAACCUUUACAAUUUCCGUUUGUAUUUGACCUGUUCCUCAAGGUGUGGCCCCGCCCCCUCGCUGCUGAAUGUCCAAGACUCAAAUUUAGCUUGUAUGAGUGAAAGGACAAUGAUUCAAAUAUUAUUUAUCAAUCACACUGUAUAUUUAUCUACAUGUACUUUUUAGGUAUCGAUUUAAAAUGUCUAAAUUAUAGACAUUGUACUUUAACAUGUUUGUUUUGGGCAUGAAAUGACACAAUGAAUACAAUUUUUCAUACGUCCCCUUCGGUGGGGUUUAAAGAUUUAGUAUGAAUGUCGCAAUUCAUCAUAUUUUUUAUAUUAUAUAUUUUUAGUG